UUAUCCUUUGCGAAACUCAUAAAUUGGCCCCAUACCUUAAUUUUCUUUACUUCCCAAACAGACGUUUAACCCCACAACCAAAGUCUAUCCAUUCCAAUAACAACACACACCUGACCUAGAAGAGCCCUCAAGUUAUUCCCUUACUCAUAGGGCUAAAAACACCCACCAGGGCUAAUACAAGAGCAACAGAAUUAGAAACCUCUAUUCAUGAUAAAAAUAGAUGGCACCAGUUAUUACAGAUACCCAAUAGGGCACUGACUUAGUGCUGACUUUACAUAAUCAGGUGGGCUUCCUGGUGGCUAUGGCCCUUCAAAAUCCACAGGCGCUUGACCUUAUGCUGGGGAAAAAAAGGAGGCCUAUGUGUCUUUCUCCAGGAGGAAUGCUGUUUUUAUGUCAAAGAAUCCAACAUAGUUAGGGACACAGUUGAAGAACUUAAAAAAAAAAAAAAAACUGGCCACAAAAAUAGCUAAAAGAGACGACUCUUGUUUGGGUAUGGGCCUCCUAGGGUGCUUCUGGCCCUGGAUAGCCCCCCUCACUGGGCAUUUUCUAAUGAUUCUCGUAGUCCUUGCAUCCUCAACUGUCUCCAGAAUUUCCUGAUGGACCAGAUAAAGAUUUUCACCAAACAGAUGGUCAACCAAAUGGUUUUGGGUAACUACACGAGACUCCAUCCUGAGAGACUCCCAGAAGGUUACAGAACAAUCACACCUGGAAAGUCUAAAAAUCCCUAACCCCAAGGCCCCCACACCUUUUGCCCAGAGACCACUGCACUGCCCCUUCCCAGCAGGAUGUAGUUAUAGAAGACUGACCUCCAGCCUUCUAUCAUAAUAAAACACAGAGCGGGGAAUGAUGGGAUAUCCUAGACAUUAGUAACUCCACAUUGGCUUUGGCCUCCAUCUUGACUCGAAACUGAAACUUAUCAACUUCCAAGGAAAAGAAACUUAAGAUACCCUGUUCCCAUAACUGUUAGGUUGGUGGUGGUGACUUGGUGGUGACUUACUGGCAACUUAGAACAAAGCAGCCCGUGCCGGAAAAGAACAUCAAUCAGCUGCCGGCGGAAAUACUUGUCAAUCAGCCAGAUCUCCUGACUAACGUCUGUCAAUCAGCAGGACCCCCUGGCCAAUCCUGGAGUUCAGCCAACUCCCCUGACCAACUCCAAGGGGGCAAGGGACCCUAAGAACACCUUUUCCUGUCCCGAGCCCUUCCCUUCCAGCUGUAAGCCCCAUAAAAGUCCAGUCCGGUCGAGCUUCCACGCGGUUUCUCCUCAGACCCUUCCCCUGUCCCCUCUGUGGGUCUGAUUGAGUUCCGCCCGGGAGUGAGAUCUCAAUAAAGCCUGUUCAGAGGCCCUUUUAAAUCUGCCUCCUUUGACCGCUG
rnacentral:lncRNA from 1 species